rnacentral:rRNA from 1 species
UAAAGGAAGCGAUUCCGGCUACGGAUGGUCAUGCGUCGCAUUAGCUAGUUGGCGGGGUAACGGCCCACCAAGGCGACGAUGCGUAGGGGUUCUGGGAGGAAGGUCCCCCACACUGGUACUGAGACACGGACCAGACUCCUACGGGAGGCAGCAGUGAGGAAUAUUGGUCAAUGGCCGCAGGGCUGAACCAGCCAAGUCGCGUGAGGGAUGACGGUCCUAUGGAUUGUAAACCUCUUUUGUCAGGGAGCAAAGGGCGCCACGUGUGGCGCUUUGCGAGUACCUGAAGAAAAAGCAUCGGCUAACUCCGUGCCAGCAGCCGCGGUAAUACGGAGGACGCGAGCGUUAUCCGGAUUUAUUGGGUUUAAAGGGUGCGCAGGCGGAAUGUCAAGUCAGCGGUAAAAUUUCGGGGCUCAACCCCGUCGUGCCGUUGAAACUGGCGUUCUUGAGUGAGCGAGAAGUAUGCGGAAUGCGUGGUGUAGCGGUGAAAUGCAUAGAUAUCACGCAGAACUCCGAUUGCGAAGGCAGCAUACCGGCGCUCAACUGACGCUCAUGCACGAAAGCGUGGGUAUCGAACAGGAUUAGAUACCCUGGUAGUCCACGCAGUAAACGAUGAAUACUAACUGUCCGGGCAGAAUGAUGCCUGG